rnacentral:tRNA from 1 species
UCCCGUGUGGCUCAGUUGGUAGAGCAUGGUGUUUGCAACGCCAGGGUUGUGGGUUCCUUUCCCACACGGGAC